ACAAAUGCCAGCACCUCUACCUCCUCCCAGAGGUGCUGGCAUUCCAGAAUUAAGAAUACUGAACGGUCGUUCCUCCCAGAUCCCGUUUUGUACAAAUGCUAACACCCCUACCUCCUCCCAGGGGUGUUAGCAUCU
rnacentral:sRNA from 1 species